rnacentral:lncRNA from 1 species
CUCAGGGCCUUAUAUAUUGGCUAUUUAAUUUACUCUCUUAGUUGAAAUGGCUGGGCCUAUUUAUAUUCCUUGGUCUAAACUUAAAAGGUGAACUGAAAGGCUUUUGUAAGAAAAAUAAGUUCAAAUUCCUUUACGGGACAAAAUGGAAGCUGAAAAUUACGGCCACUUACAUUUAAAAAGAUAUCUGUUUCUCUCUGGCUUA